rnacentral:rRNA from 1 species
AGUGUAGCGGUGAAAUGCGUAGAGAUUGGAAGGAAUACCGGUGGCGAAGGCGGCCACCUGGUCAGAAACUGACGCUGAGGUACGAAAGCGUGGGGGGCAAACGGGAUUAGAUACCCUGGUAGUCCACGCCGUAAACGAUGUCAACUAGUUGUUCGUCUUAUAAACAAGGUGAGUAACGCAGCUAACGCACUAAGUUGACCGCCUGGGGAGUACGGCCGCAAGGUUAAAACUCAAAUGAAUUGACGGGGGCCCGCACAAGCGGUGGAGCAUGUGGUUUAAUUCGAUGCAACGCGAAGAACCUUACCAUCCCUUGACAUCCAGAGAAUUUUCUAGAGAUAGAUUAGUGCCUUCGGGAACUCUGAGACAGGUGCUGCAUGGCUGUCGUCAGCUCGUGUUGUGAGAUGUUGGGUUAAGUCCCGCAACGAGCGCAACCCUUAUCCUCAGUUGCCAGCACGUAAAGGUGGGAACUCUGUGGAGACUGCCGGUGAUAAACCGGAGGAAGGUGGGGACGACGUCAAGUCAUCAUGGCCCUUACGGGAUGGGCUACACACGUGCUACAAUGGCGCGUACAAAGGGAAGCAAGCUAGCGAUAGUGAGCGGAUCUCAAAAAGCGCGUCGUAGUCCGGAUUGGAGUCUGCAACUCGACUCCAUGAAGUCGGAAUCGCUAGUAAUCGCGGAUCAGAAUGCCGCGGUGAAUACGUUCCCGGGCCUUGUACACACCGCCCGUCACACCAUGGGAGUGGGCUGCACCAGAAGUAGAUAGCUUAACCUUCGGGAGGGCGUUUACCACGGUGUGGUUCAUGACUGGGGUGAAGUCGUAACAAGGUACCA